rnacentral:rRNA from 1 species
CACGUAGGGGGCGAGCGUUGUCCGGAAUCAUUGGGCGUAAAGCGCGUGUAGGCGGUUUCGUAAGUCUGCUGUGAAAGUCGGAGGCUCAACCUUCGAAAGCCGGUGGAUACUGUGAGACUUGAGUACGGAAGAGGAGAGUGGAAUUCCUGGUGUAGCGGUGAAAUGCGCAGAUAUCAGGAGGAACACCAACGGCGAAGGCAGCUCUCUGGGACGUUACUGACGCUGAGACGCGAAAGCGUGGGGAGCAAACAGG